rnacentral:lncRNA from 1 species
UACCAGUCCAGAGCAUUUAAAAGAAACUGUGAAGAAUGAGAAGGGCCAGAGAUGGUCGAGCAGCAGGUGGGAGAUGAGGGUGGGGAUGGCCCUCCAGAUGUGGCCAAGCUACAGCCCCAGUAAAGACCUGGAGGAAGGAAAUGGGACUACAGGCAUGCACCACAUUGCCCAGCUAAUUAUUUUAUUUUCUGUAGAGACAGGGUCUCCCUAUGUUGUUCGGGGUGGUCUUGAACUCUUGGGCUCAAGAGAUCCUCCCACCUUGGCCUCCCAAAGUGUUGGGGUUAUAGGUGUGAGCCACCAUGCCCGGCCCAAGUGGUACUUUUAAUAUUUCUCAAUCGAGUUGUUUGGUUCAUCUCAGAUUUUGAUACGUGGUCAUAAGUUGUCACUUUAUUUAAAUUUUUAAAAGCCAAUAAAUCAUCUUUAAAAAAUAAUCCUUUAU